GAACAAGGAUUAUUUGUAUUUUAAUCUAUUCUUGGAUUAAUAUGCAAAUUGGCUACAAGCCUAAUAAGCAUUUAAAUAGAAAUUUACAAAAGUAAUUUGGGAAUAAUCCAUCUUCGGUCGGCAUGAAAUGUCUAUCCUAAACUAAUAUGGCAGGACACUGCAUCUUUCCUAAGCAUGGACUAUCUUAUAUUUACUUAGUGAUCAUGAAGAACAGUUGUACGAACAUCAUACUUAAAAUCACAGAAAUUAAAUAUGAUUCAAAAGAAGAUAUCCAUUGAAAAUAAUAAGUUCAUACAACCCCAAGAAUAUAAAAUAAAAUAUAAAAUCCGUGUCCCUUUGUUAGGGCUGCAUCCGGCCCUAGAGAGGAGAUCAGCCUUCCAUGAAGAGUUGAACAGCUACACUGCAGGGGAACUUCAUGAUGAUUGGCUCCUUCCUCCCGUCGGCUCACUCUCAACAAAUCAUCAUCUCUUUCUUUGGGAAAUCAUUCCCAAAGUACCCAAACUCUUCUCUUCUUUUUAUUCUUGUGGGAACUCAGCCUGUGAAGAGCUAGCUUGGGACCAGCCGGCUCCCUCUCUCCCCUUUUAUUCUUGUGGGAACUCAACCUGAGAAGAGCCGAAGAGGAGUGGAUCCCCAGCCAAGUUGCUUCCUCUGUUUCACGCCUGGCCUUUUAUAGGCUCCAAUUUUUCUUUCCUCUUUCUUAUUUCGAAUCAUGGAUAAGGAUGAACCCUUUGCCGUUGGGAUGAAGUUUGGCUUGAUUCGUUGGACUGCUGUAGUUCGAAUCUUAGAUCCGGCUGCUGGGAUGCUGAUCAAAGGAGAAGAUGCGUGAAGCCGGACGCGUGGGAAGAUGAAGUCAAUCCGAAUGGCUGGAAUGCUGCGGACGGGCUGGUUGAAGACGCGUGAAACAGGGGAAUGACGAUCACGGCUGAGAAAAGAUGCUGAAAGAUGCGUGAGGAUAAAUCAUGGGGAAGGAAGGCUGGGAUCUUGCUGGAGUUGGACGUGAAGCUCGGGAUACUGUGAACAGACGCGUAGAAGAAGAUUGCAAGGCAGGUUCGGAUCCGUGAGCUGCUGUUUGUGGGCGAUGGAAGGAAUCGGCGCUUCUUCAACGCAGAGAGGAUCUUGAACGCGACUGGGACGCAUUGGAUUCAUCAUGGGCGAUGAAGGAUUUGCUGGACAACUGCGAAUGGGAGGGAGUUUGGAACUUAUCCGAAGCAGGGGAUGAAGGUUGGAUGGAUCUUUCGGCUGUGGUGUGGAGCUGGGAAUCUAGUUGGGAUAAGGAUUGGUCGGUUUGGGAGGAAGGAUUGAUCUAUUGGGGUGAGGAGAUUGCUGGGAUUUUGAAUGCGGAAGGGAGAGUGAAGUUGAGAAUAUCUCGGCUAGGAAGAAGUGGUUCCGAAAUAGGGGAUUGGCUGCGGGAGAAAUCCGUGGAUGGUGGGGUGAUCCGGAAGGAUGAAGCUACGGACGUGGAGCAGCAUGUAAACGGGAUGAAAAGAUUUCUGGGAGAGAGGAAUGUCGUGUGAGACUUCAUUCGUCGACAACUGGGAUCAAGCCAAAAGAAGAGGAUGCGGUUCAUACGGCUGGGAACAGGGGAUUCGGAUAAAGCUUGGAUGAUGUUUGAGAGUAUCUCGGCUGAGGCUUUAGGAUCCGGCUGUAGGCGUUUGAGAAGAUCUCGGAGGGAGAGGAUGAGGAUGCUGGAAAAAUGUGGACGUGGGAAGCACAGGAGAUUCGGGAAGAUGAAGCUAAGGAGGGAUGUUUGGAUUGCGGAAGACGUGGUCUUGUUCCGCUGAAGCAAGGAGAGUUGGAUUUGGUGGAAAAAUCCGGAUGGGGUUGAUCCGGAAUAAUGGCUGGGACAUUGAAAUGUUGACGCGGAGAUUUGGAGGGAAAUUGGUUGCUUUGGAAUUCGUGCAAAUAUGAUGGUAUGCUUUGAGAUCUGAGAGACAAAUAAUUGAAGGGAUUUUAUUGUUUUUGAGAUUAAAAUAGGAGAAUUGAAUCAUGUGAAAAAAAUUGGAACGAGUGGGAAGAAAUUUAGGUGAACUUGUGAAGAGUCA
rnacentral:lncRNA from 1 species